ensembl:lncRNA
GGUUGACUACCCUACGCCACUUCCCGACGGGGACGGUGGAGAGUUGCGAGUUAGAGUCUCGGCAACCAGUCGGGUUAGAGGCCCGAGGACUUAGGGGCACCUCGAAGUAUUUAUUGUGUGUAAAGGUUCAUCUGGGUUAGAGUCCCGGGGAGUUUUAGAACUCCCCAAAUUCUGUAUCUGGGUUAGAGUCCCGGGGAGUUUUAGAACUCCCCAAAUUCUGUAUCUGGGUUAGAGUCCCGGGGAGUUUUGGAACUCCCCAAAUUCUGUAUCUGGGUUAGAGUCCCGGGGAGUUUUAGAACUCCCCAAAUUCUGUAUCUGGGUUAGAGUCCCGGGGAGUUUUGGAACUCCCCAAAUUCUGUAUCUGGGUUAGAGUCCCGGGGAGGUUUAGAACUCCCCAAAUUCUGUAUCUGGGUUAGAGUCCCGGGGAGUUUUAUAACUCCCCAAAUUCUGUAUUGGGUUAGAGUCCCGGGGAGUUUUAUAACUCCCCAAAUUCUGUAUCUGGGUUAGAGUCCCGGGGAGUUUUAUAACUCCCCAAAUUCUGUAUCUGGGUUAGAGUCCCGGGGAGUUUUAGAACUCCCCAAAUUCUGUAUCUGGGUUAGAGUCCCGGGGAGGUUUAGAACUCCCCAAAUUCUGUAUCUGGGUUGGAGUCCCGGGGAGUUUUAGAGCUCCCCAAAUUCUGUAUAAGAGAACUGGGUUCAAGUCCCAAAAAGUGUUGGGUCAGGUACCCGUUAAUCAUUUGUUAAUUAUUCUGAGUCCCGGUAACGUAAGUCAGGUUGAAAUGGACGGGGAGUGUGAGAGAAGUUGAUGACGAUGGGCGGUGUCCAGGCACG